rnacentral:rRNA from 1 species
GAACCCAGCGGAGGGAUCAUUA